rnacentral:rRNA from 1 species
AGAGUUUGAUCCUGGCUCAGGAUGAACGCUGGCGGCGUGCCUAAUACAUGCAAGUCGAACGAGAACUCAUUGGGUUUGUCUGGUGAGGUAAGUGGCGCACGGGUGAGUAACGCGUGGGUAAUCUGCCCUGAAGAGGGGGAUAACCCCUCGAAAGGGGGGCUAAUACCCCAUAAGCUUUUGGGGACUCGUGUCCCCAAGAGGAAAGCUUUGGCGCUUUGGGAGGAGCCCGCGGCCCAUUAGCUUGUUGGUGGGGUAAUGGCCCACCAAGGCGACGAUGGGUAGCUGGUCUGAGAGGACGACCAGCCACACUGGGACUGAAACACGGCCCAGACUCCUACGGGAGGCAGCAGUAAGGAAUAUUGCACAAUGGGCGAAAGCCUGAUGCAGCAACGCCGCGUGGGCGAAGAAGGCCUUCGGGUCGUAAAGCCCUUUUCUGGGGGAAGAGAAAGGACGGUACCCCAGGAAUAAGUCUCGGCUAACUACGUGCCAGCAGCCGCGGUAAAACGUAGGAGGCGAGCGUUAUCCGGAUUUACUGGGCGUAAAGUGCGUUCAGGCGGCCUUGUAAGUUGGGCGUGAAAGCUCCCGGCUCAACCGGGAGAGGUCGUUCAAUACUGCGUGGCUUGAGGACAGCAGAGGGGGGUGGAAUUCCCGGUGUAGUGGUGAAAUGCGUAGAUAUCGGGAGGAACACCAGUGGCGAAGGCGGCCCCCUGGGCUGCUCCUGACGCUGAGCGCGAAAGCUUGGGGAGCAAACGGGAUUAGAAACCCCGGUAGUCCAAGCCGUAAACGAUGGAUACUAGGUGUUGGGGGUAAAACUCCCUCAGUGCCGAAGCCAACGCGAUAAGUAUCCCGCCUGGGGACUACGGCCGCAAGGUUAAAACUCAAAGGAAUUGACGGGGGCCCGCACAAGCAGCGGAGCGUGUGGUUUAAUUCGAUGCAACGCGAAGAACCUUACCUGGGCUUGACAUGUAGGUGGUAGUGAAGCGAAAGCGGAACGACCUUCGGGAGCCUACACAGGUGCUGCAUGGCUGUCGUCAGCUCGUGCCGUGAGGUGUUCGGUUAAGUCCGGUAACGAGCGCAACCCCUGCCGCUAGUUACAAGUGUCUAGCGGAACUGCCCGUCUAAAGCGGGAGGAAGGUGGGGAUGACGUCAAGUCAGCAUGGCCUUUAUGUCCAGGGCUACACACACGCUACAAUGGCCGGUACAAUGGGUCGCCAAGCCGCGAGGCGGAGCCAAUCCUCCAAAGCCGGUCUCAGUUCGGAUUGCAGGCUGCAACUCGCCUGCAUGAAGCUGGAGUUGCUAGUAACCGCAGGUCAGCAUACUGCGGUGAAUACGUUCCCGGGCCUUGUACACACCGCCCGUCACGUCAUGGGAGCUGGUAACACCUGAAGUCGCUGAGCUAACCGAAAGGAGGCAGCCGCCGAAGGUGGGGCUGGUGACUGGGACGAAGUCGUAACAAGGUAGCC